rnacentral:lncRNA from 1 species
AGAGGGAAGGUGAGGAUGGAGAAAGGGUUAUCAGUGUACUGAGGGCGCUACGCCCCGUGAUCUCCCCCGACAGAGAAGAGUUCUGUCCAGCAUUGCUUGGUGGCCAAGUGAGGGAGGAGAGAAGGUGGCUGGAGAUAUUUUGGGUCUGAGUCUGCAGGGCAGGGUAGGGGAUGUGGCCCCUCUCAAAGGGUUUGCUGCCCAGGACAGGGUCAACUAUGCCUUUCUCCACGAUUUCUGGUCUUGAGCACAGCUCUUCCUGGGUGCCCUGUACAGGGCUCUACUCACUGAAGUGCCACCGACUCCAGGGGUGUGUCGUGUCUGACCUUGGUGGAGGGCAAGGAAUGUGUCUUUUUGUAUCCCCAGUGCCUAGAACAAUGCUGGCACCUGGAAAUAUUGCUUGAACCUAACUGUCUUGUUUUUGUCUUCCUGUGAGUUCAAGGACAGGAGCAGUGCUUAACACACAGUAGGUAAUGGAAUAUUUGUUCCAGCAGCCUGGACACUCAAGGGGAGAAGCCAGGGCUGCUGCUGCCUCUCUGGAAACCCUGUCUUCCCUUUGGUUUCUGCCUCUCCCAACCCACGUGUACACACAUACACAUGCCAACACAUACACACUCAGACACAGGCUCAUACUCAGACAUGCAUACUCAUUCACACACUUAACAUAUAUGAGCACACAACACAUGCACACUUGCAUGCACACACUAUUUUAGUCAGAGCUGCUCCUGCAGAGUCUCUCCAGUCCCAGGGCCUGUCCUGCAGCCUCCUAGUGGCACUGCUGUGGUAUGACCUGGAGAGCCUGGACAAGGACUCUUCUCAGUGUAUUCACUCCUAAUUUGUCCAUGACAGAUUUAGGCUCAGAGCUCAAGGGGGUUGCAGACUCUGGGUGAGCCUUUGUCCCUGCCCUUGAGAAGGUCCCAGUUGCCUAAAGCUCUUGGCCAGAACUUAAGGAAACCAAGGGCACAGGUGCAUAGCAGUACCUACUGUGCCUGCUAGAUGCUUGGCGCAAGGGAUUUUGUUUACUCCUUACAACAACUCUAUGAAGCAGGUUUUACUCACCUCAGUUUGUGUUGUGGACACUGAAGCUUGGUUGUUAAUUAAUUGCCCCAAAUUGCAUAGUAAUGGAUGGAGCCAGGAUUUAGGCCUGGGUCUGACUCCAGAGGUCCUUUCUUUCAGCACUAGAUGGAAUCCUUGUUGGCAGAACAAGGGGGAGAAGAGGCUUUAUGUUGCCCAGCUUGUCCUUUUGAGCACAUAACAUCGUAUAUGAGCCAGAACAUAAAGGUAUGAAAGUUAAUACAGGUCGGUACUUCUUAGCUUUUAUGGGCCCUUCGAAAACCUGAAACUUGCUAAGGGUUGUGGACCCUUUCCCCAGAUAGUGCAUAUAUGCAGAGGCAUACAUAGGUUACUCUGGGUACAAUUUCAGGGAUUUGAGGUCCCCCUGAAACCUCCAGUGGUUCCCAAGUUGAGAACCCCUGUGAGAGGUGUUUGCUAACAAUGUGACAGAUGAGAAGAGAUGACUGUCCAUGCCCUGCACAGAGCACAUACCACAGUGCCCAGAGAGGUCUGUACAUACUCGUUUCAGCCUGUUUUUAAUAGAAUUGGAAACAAUCUGAAUAGCCAUCAGUAGGGGCCUGGGUAAAUAAGCAAAGUCCAUGUGUGCCAUGGAGUAGCACACAACUGUUCCAAGAAAGGAUGGUGUAGGUAUAGAUAGAUGUAGCUCUCCAAGACAUAUUGUUGAAUGGAAAAAAGCCUGUUGAAGAGUGAUAUACCUCACACAUUAUUGUGGGUUUUUUGUUUUUUUUUUUUUUUAAGACAGGGUCUCACUCUGUCACCCAGGCUGGAGUGCAGUGGUGCAAUCUCAGCUCACUUCUGCCUCCAUACGCCGGGUUCAAGGUGUCUCAACCUCCUGCAUAGCUGGGAUCACAGGCCACCAUGCCCAGAUAAUUUUUGUGUUUUUAGUAGAGACGCGUUUUCGCCAUGUUGACCAGGCCGGUCCCGAACUCCUGGUCUCAAGUGAUUCACCCGCCUCGUUCUCCCAAAGUGCCGGGAUUACAAGCAUGAACCACUGUGCCCGGCCCCACACACAUUAUUUAUGUAAAAUCACUUAACAACGUUAUUUCCUACAAAUACAGAAAAAUUUAUGGGACUGGGUGCAGUGGCUCACACCUAUAAUCCCAGCACUUUGGGAGGCUGAGGUGGGUGGUCACUCGAGACCAGGAGUUCGAGACCAGCCUGGCCAACAUGGUGAAACCCCGUCUCUACUAAAAAUACAAAAAUUAGCUGGGCCUGGUGGUGUGCACCUGUAAUCCCAGCCACUUGGGAGGCUGAGCAUGAAGAUCACCUGAACCUGGGAGGCAGAGGUUGUGGUGAGCUGUGAUAUCACACCACUACAUUCCCUGCACUCCAGCCUGGGCACCAGAGCAAGAUACCCUGUCUCAAAAAAAAAAAAAAAAAAAGGCAAAAAAGCACAAGAAUGAUACCCAAGACAGUGCUAAUAGUGGGAGUUCCUUUGGGGAGGAGGGAGGUAGAAGGUUCCUGGUCAAAGGUGACACAGCUCUGUAGUGCUUUAAUUUUUUAAUAAAGAGACUAUAUCCCUCUAUUAUUUGUGUACUUAAAAUCACAAAUAAUUUUAAAAUGCAAUGCACAUACCAUGUGUAUGGGGGAAUGAGGGCAAGAGGAAGGGAUUCUGAAGGAGGUGGUGUGGGGUAGAGCUUUUAUAUCAGACAAGCCUGUAUUCCAGUCCUGACCUUGACAAUUACCUGCCAGUGACUUCAGGCAAGUCACCUUACUCUCUGAGUCUCAGCCUCCUCAUUUGAGAAGUCAGGAUGACAAUGUCUGCCUUCCAGGGCUCUUGUGUGGAUAUGGAGUAGGCCGUAGAAUUCUUGGCACAUAGUAGGUGCUCAGCGUAUCAAUCAUAGCCAUUAUUGUUAUUUCAAAUUUCAGCCAAAAAUAAUCACUUGAGCUCUUAGUAGGUGACAGUUGGAUUAAGGACAUUGGGACUGUAUCUGGUUCAAUCAGGGAUGACUUCCUGGGGGAGGAGGGGCUUGAGCUACUUAAAUAUAUGUGGGAAGUGGGGCAGCAUUGAGUUAGAGAGAGGGCUGUGUGCAGAGGCCAGGGAGGGAUUAUGCCUGUGUGCCUAUUAUUAGUAAUGAUAUUACUUAUUUCCAUAUUAUAGACAAAGAGGGAGAGUCCAAGUAACUUGUCCACAGACACAUAGCUAGUAAGUGUAGGGUGUUCACAUGGAAGGGAUGGGCAGAGGAAGAGAAAUGGGAAAAUGCAGGAAACUGGGAUAGUUCUGUGGGAGGAGAAGGGAGAAAAAGAAUGGGCUUUGUAAUCAGAAAGGCUCCUGAAGAGAGGGAUGUGGGGGAUUUAACAGGCCAGCCAUUGCCCUUUACUUAAAAAAAAAAAUGCCCAGGGGAGAUGUAGGACCUUAAGGUCUUACCUUUGCAAGACGCUCUUGACAGAGGCCACUGGCUCUCCAUCUCCCUUGGGCCCAAGCAGAAAGGAUUGGGGCCCCUCCCCACAGGAAGGGGUGCUAGGCUGACUAGUCCUAGGAGGCUGGGCGUCUUUUCCCCAGGAACCCUCCAAGAACUGGGUGGGUUGAGAGCUGGCUGGCAGUACUGUGCCAAAUGAAGUCGCUGCAUGCCCUGUAACCUGGCAAUUCCGCUUCUUAGGUUUUCAGGCCGAGCCGUAACGGUUCCUGUCAAGGACGGUCAUGGCAGGGUUGCUGGGGUGUUGGAGGGAACUUGGGUGCCUGUCGCCCUCAGAGUGGGUAAAUAAAUGUGGAAGGUGCCCACCAGAAACUAAAUGUGCUCACAGCAACAUGAAUGAGGUUUAAAAAUACAGUGCUGAGCGAAAACAAUUAAGAAAUAUAUCUAUAAUGUGUGUGUGUGUUUUUUAUAUAUAUAUAUAUAUAUAUAUAUAUAUAUAUUACUAAUUGUGAAACUAAAAAAUACAUGCACUUGUUUUGCAAGGACACAUACAAAUGGUUGGCUAUGGGUUAGGAUGAGGAAUGAGAAUAAAAAUGAGAUAAAUGCAGAGUGUGGUGAAAUCCAGUUCCUCUGCAGGUGGAAAGGGUGGCCAAGCGGUCAACCCACAUUUCUGUGCACAUUGUGCCAUCUAGUGGGCAAAGGGGCGUUCAGCUGCCCUGGUCCUGGAGCUGGUGCAACUAUGGCACCAUGACAUCCUGGGCAGGUGCUGCCUCAGCUGGGCCCCCAGAGCAGAGGUGAGAGGUGAGUGCUGCCUGUCAAGUGGGGGCCAGGCACAGCCUGCUGUAGGCCUGGCCAGUGGGGCUGGUAGCCAUUUCUGUUGCAGCAGGGAGGAGGGUUCAGACAGGCCUGCCUGCCUCCAGGAGCUGUCUGAUGUCAGGGCUGGCUCUUCACCGCCUGCUAUGGCAGGCAGGCAGGUGGUUCCUGAGAAGGGAGUGGCUGAGACUCUGAUGCCAGAUUUUCACAUGUAGCCCUCCCUUCUGGCAGGAAAGAGAGCAUCUGGCAGGAUCAUUGUGAAAGCAAAGAGGAGAGAGGAGAGCAGGUAGAGACACUCAGAGUCUAGAGAGAGCAAUGACUACCUUGAGGUGGAGUACGGAGGACAGACCCUGGCACCAGACUGCCAGGGUUCACAUCCCUUGGGCAAGUCCCCUGUGCAUCAGUUUCCCCUCCUUGGAAUGUAAUAGUACGUACCUUGUAGGGUUGAAGUGAGUCAAAAUAAGGCACUUAAAACAGGUCCCCUUUCCGGGUCAGGGCUGUGUAAGUGUUGUCCACUCUCAGUAUCUGAGGUUCACCCAACUCCUGUAAAGCCAGCACCCUGCUCUCAUCCUUCAUGAGAGUCAUGGGGCAUGAACAGAAUGCCCUGGGCUGAUGGGGGUCACUGCAGCAGGGCCUGGGGCUAUAGGCUAGGAAGGGACUCCAGCCAUGGACCCAGGCCAAACUGUGGAGGGAGGUGGGGUGAAGCAGGGCGGGGCCUGGGGCUGGGGACACUGCAUUCUUUUUUUGUUUUUUGAGACGGAGUUUCGCUCUCGUCACCCAGAUUGGAGUGCAAUGGCGCCAUCUCGG